rnacentral:tRNA from 1 species
GGAGAGAUGGCUCAGCAGUUAAGAGCACUGGCUGCUCUCCCAGAGGACCUGGGUUCAAUUCCCUGUGCCUACA